rnacentral:lncRNA from 1 species
UUCAAUUUCAAUUUUGCAAUUCUAUAUACAUUCAAGUGUGAAGGAUCACGUACAAGGAGGCUUGGUGCUUACGGUUUGCCAAAGACCUCACCACAACGCUAUUAACCACCCAUUUUUCGUCUAGUUUCUUCCCUAGCCUUGUGCUAGUUUUCAUGUGUUACGACGUUAAAUAAGCAAACCGGUGAAGUUUACGACGCACAGGAACGCAAAGUUGU